UCCCUGGUGGUCCAGUGGCUAAGACUCUGUAUUCCUAACACGGGGGGUCUGGGUUCAAUCCCUGGUCAGGGAA
rfam:TPA: Bos taurus chromosome 23, whole genome shotgun sequence.